rnacentral:misc_RNA from 1 species
UUUCCGUAGGUGAACUUGCGGAAGGAUCAUUACUGAGUGAGGGCCCCUCGGGGUCCAACCUCCCACCCGUGUUUAACGAACCUUGUUGCUUCGGCGGGCCCGCCUCACGGCCGCCGGGGGGCAUCUGCCCCCGGGCCCGCGCCCGCCGAAGCCACCUGUGAACGCUGUCUGAAGUAUGCAGUCUGAGACAAUUAUUAAAUUAAUUAAAACUUUCAACAACGGAUCUCUUGGUUCCG